UCUUGGUCAUUAGAGGAAGUAAAAGUGUACCAAGGUCUCGUUGGUGAACCAGCGGAGGGAUCAUUACCGAGUUUACACUCCCAAACCCCUGUGGACCUAUACCUUUACUGUUGCCUCGGCGGGCACGGCCGCGGACGUCCCCUCGCGGGGGCACCGGGGCCAGGCGCCCGCCGGAGGACCCAAACCCUUCUGUAUUUUCUUACGCAUGUUUGAGUGGAUUUACAAAUGAAUCAAAACUUUCAACAACAGGAUCUCUUGGUUCUGGCAUCGAUGAAGAACGCAGCGAAAUGCGAUAAGUAAUGUGAAUUGCAGAAUUCAGUGAAUCAUCGAAUCUUUGAACGCACAUUGCGCCCGCCAGUACUCCUGGCGGGCAUGCCUGUUCGAGCCGCUCAUUUCAACCCUCAAGCCCGCUGCGUGCUUGGUGUUGGGGACCGGCCAGCCCGCCUCGCGGCGGCGGCCGCCCCUGAAAUGAAUUGGCGGUCUCGCCGCAGCCUUCUUUGCGUAGUAGCAUACCACCUCGCAACCAGGAGCGCGGCGCGGCCACUGCCGUAAAACGCCCAACUUCUCCAAGAGUUGACCUCGAAUCAGGUAGGAAUACCCGCUGAACUUAAGCAUAUCAAAAAAGCGGAGG
rnacentral:rRNA from 1 species